rnacentral:rRNA from 1 species
AUUGAACGCUGGCGGCAGGCCUAACACAUGCAAGUCGAGCGAGCGGCGGACGGGUGAGUAAUGUCUGGGAAACUGCCCGAUGGAGGGGGAUAACUUCUGGAAACGGUAGCUAAUACCGCAUACUAUCAGAUGUGCCCAGAUGGGUUUAGCUAGUUGUGUGGGUAACGGCUCACCUAGGCGACGAUCCAUAGCUGGUCUGAGAGGAUGACCAGCCACACUGGAACUGAGACACGGUCCCGACUCCUCCGGGAGGCAGCAGUGGGGAAUAUUGCACAAUGGGCGCAAUCCUGAUGCAGCCAUGCCGCGUGUGUGAAGAAGGCCUUCGGGUUGUAAAGCACUUUCAGCGGGGAGGCGUUACCCGCAGAAGAAGCACCGGCUAACUCCGUGCCAGCAGCCGCGGUAAUAC